AACAAGCAAAGGAACAAGUCUUCAAUAUCUUAGCCCCGGGGAAGAUGGAAUCUGCAAGGAAACCUAGAGAAAGAAGGAAGGAGUGCUCUUCUUUUUAAACUGGAAAUAUGGUAACCUUGCAGGACUGCAACCCGGAGGCACAUAGAGGAGCGCCCAGAAAGGCAAGAAGAAAGGCGAGAAUGAUCCUCCUCUGUUUUGAUAGGCCUUGAUCUCUGAGUAAUCAGCAUUUUUUCUUCUGCUAAUUGUGCCUGCUACCCAGGCCCCUCCCCUUCUAAUGUUUUUUUCAUAAUGCUGCACCUGGCUUCUUCUGAUCUCACCUGAUGAAGAAUAUCUUGCAGCUUGUCUGACUUUAUCCCAACUACCAAGUUGGUCCAAUAAAAGAUAACACACUCA